rnacentral:rRNA from 1 species
GAUGAACGCUGGCGGCGUGCUUAACACAUGCAAGUCGAACGAAGCACUUAAGUUUGAUUCUUCGGAUGAAGACUUUUGUGACUGAGUGGCGGACGGGUGAGUAACGCGUGGGUAACCUGCCUCAUACAGGGGGAUAACAGUUAGAAAUGGCUGCUAAUACCGCAUAAGACCACAGCACCGCAUGGUGCAGGGGUAAAAACUCCGGUGGUAUGAGAUGGACCCGCGUCUGAUUAGCUAGUUGGUGGGGUAACGGCCUACCAAGGCGACGAUCAGUAGCCGACCUGAGAGGGUGACCGGCCACAUUGGGACUGAGACACGGCCCAAACUCCUACGGGAGGCAGCAGUGGGGAAUAUUGCACAAUGGGGGAAACCCUGAUGCAGCGACGCCGCGUGAAGGAUGAAGUAUUUCGGUAUGUAAACUUCUAUCAGCAGGGAAGAAAAUGACGGUACCUGACUAAGAAGCCCCGGCUAACUACGUG